AUGGCUCAGAUUGAACGCUGGCGGCACGGCCUAACACACUGCAAGUCGAGCGGUAACAUUUCUAGCUUGCUAGAAGAUGACGAGCGGCGGACGGGUGAGUAAUGCUUGGGAACAUUCCUUGGGGUGGGGGACAACCAUUGGAAACGAUGGCUAAUACCGCAUAAUGUCUACGGGCCAAAGGGGGCUUCAGCUCUCGCCUUUAGAUUGGCCCAAGUGGGAUUAGCUAGUUGGUGAGGUAAAGGCUCACCAAGGCGACGAUCCCUAGCUGGUUUG
rnacentral:rRNA from 1 species